AAGACCCCAUGGAGCUUUAAACCCGAUGUCACCCAUUUUCCUCUACACCCUAAUAUUCAAUUUGGCCCUGCCCUGUCGGUUUUAGGUUGGGGUGACCACGGAGUAUAAUAUACCCUCCAUGAAAAAGGGAGUAAUAAUCCUUAUUAGAGAACAACACUUCUAAAAAUUAAAACAUUAAUUUAUAAUGAUCCGAUAUUCGAUCAACGAACCAAGUUACCCUGGGGAUAACAGCGCAAUCUGCCUCAAGAGCCCCUAUCGACAGGCGGGUUUACGACCUCGAUGUUGGAUCAGGGCAUCCCAGUGGUGCAGCAGCUACUAAAGGUUCGUUUGUUCAACGAUUAAAACCCUACGUGAUCUGAGUUCAGACCGGACUC
rnacentral:rRNA from 1 species